GACGAACCGAGCGAACGUUGUUCGGAAUCACUGGGCUUAAAGGGCGCGUAGGCGGGUGUUCAAGUCCGGGGUGAAAUCCUCCAGCUCAACUGGAGAACUGCCUCGGAUACUGGGUGUCUCGAGGGUGGUAGGGGUAUGCGGAACUAUCGGUGGAGCGGUGAAAUGCGUUGAUAUCGAUAGGAACUCCGGUGGCGAAGGCGGCAUACUGGACCACAUCUGACGCUGAGGCGCGAAAGCCAGGGGAGCAAACGGG
rnacentral:rRNA from 1 species